rnacentral:rRNA from 1 species
GGAUGAACGCUGGUGGCGUGCCUAAUACAUGCAAGUCGAGCGAACAGACGAGGAGCUUGCUCCUCUGACGUUAGCGGCGGACGGGUGAGUAACACGUGGAUAACCUACCUAUAAGACUGGGAUAACUUCGGGAAACCGGAGCUAAUACCGGAUAAUAUAUUGAACCGCAUGGUUCAAUAGUGAAAGACGGUUUUGCUGUCACUUAUAGAUGGAUCCGCGCCGCAUUAGCUAGUUGGUAAGGUAACGGCUUACCAAGGCAACGAUGCGUAGCCGACCUGAGAGGGUGAUCGGCCACACUGGAACUGAGACACGGUCCAGACUCCUACGGGAGGCAGCAGUAGGGAAUCUUCCGCAAUGGGCGAAAGCCUGACGGAGCAACGCCGCGUGAGUGAUGAAGGUCUUCGGAUCGUAAAACUCUGUUAUUAGGGAAGAACAAAUGUGUAAGUAACUAUGCACGUCUUGACGGUACCUAAUCAGAAAGCCACGGCUAACUACGUG